AUGAUGACGGAUGCUCUCCCGAGUUCAUUAAUGGCGUGCAUACUUUUUCUGCGGGCCGCUGAGGCAAACAAGCGGGCGGAUGGUUUUAUGCCUUGUCCAUGUGCUGGCUGUAAGAAUGGUCACAGUUACUCUACGUCAAAAACCAUUCACGUCCACCUAUUUAAGUCCGGUUUCAUGCCCCACUAUAAUGUUUGGACCAAGCACGGAGAAAUAGGGGUUAUGAUGGAAGACAAUGAAGAAGAAGAGGACGACGAUGGCUAUCCUGGCCAUGGGUUCCCUGAAUAUGAUGAUACAACAAUGGGGGAAGAAGCUGAGCCGGCAAUGCGGGAAGAAGCUGAAGAAGAGGCAUCAGAUGAGCUCGCUGAUGAUCUAGGUCGGGCCAAUGCUGAUGCAAAGAGAAACUGCGCAAGUGAUCUGGAGAGGACGAAGUUGCAGUGCAUGUUAGAGGAUCACAAGAAAUUGUUGUACCCGAAUUGCGAAGCUGACAAGAAAAAGUUAGGCACCACACUUGAAUUGCUGCAAUGGAAGGCAGAGAAUGGUGUAUCUGACAAGGGAUUUCGAAAG
rnacentral:rRNA from 1 species